rnacentral:rRNA from 1 species
CCCUAUUAUUUAAGAGCUAAAUAUUGUAAGUAUAUAAUAAUUACGAAAGCAAAAAAUUAUGGCGGUAUUUUAAGCUUUUCAGAGGAAUUUGCUCUUUAAUGGAUAAAACACCUAAAUCUUACUUAAAUUUGUUAAAUCAACUUGUAUACCACUAUUAAAACAAUUAUUAACUCUAAUUGUUAAUAUUUAAAACAUAAAUUAAUUUAAAUUAAGUCAAGGUGCAGUAAAAAUUUAAGAAUGAAGUGAAUUACAUUACUUUUAAGGGAAAUAAAAUUAAAUAAAGUUUAGGAUUUGAAAGUAAAAUUAAAAUAGAAUGUUAAUUUGAAUUAAGCUCUAAAAUAUGUACAUAUC